rnacentral:rRNA from 1 species
CAGUAGCCGCGGUAACACGGAGGGAGCUAGCGUUGUUCGGAAUUACUGGGCGUAAAGCGCGCGUAGGCGGUUACUCAAGUCAGAGGUGAAAGCCCGGGGCUCAACCCCGGAACUGCCUUUGAAACUAGGUGACUAGAAUCUUGGAGAGGUCAGUGGAAUUCCGAGUGUAGAGGUGAAAUUCGUAGAUAUUCGGAAGAACACCAGUGGCGAAGGCGACUGACUGGACAAGUAUUGACGCUGAGGUGCGAAAGCGUGGGGAGCAAACAGGAUUAGAUACCCGCGUAGUCCCUGUCUCUUAUAA